rnacentral:rRNA from 1 species
CUGCCUCAUACAGGGGGAUAACAGUUAGAAAUGACUGCUAAAACCGCAUAAGCGCACAUUGUCGAGUGACAGAGUGUGAAAAACUCCGGUGGUAUGAGAUGGACCCGCGUCUGAUUAGCUAGUUGGUGAGGUAACGGCCCACCAAGGCGACGAUCAGUAGCCGGCCUGAGAGGGCGACCGGCCACAUUGGGACUGAGACGCGGCCCAAACUCCUACGGGAGGCAGCAGUGGGGAAUAUUGCACAAUGGGGGAAACCCUGAUGCAGCGACGCCGCGUGAGUGAAGAAGUAUUUCGGUAUGUAAAGCUCUAUCAGCAGGGAAGAAGAAAGACGGUACCUGACUAAGAAGCCCCGGCUAACUACGUGCCAGCAGCCGCGGUAAUACGUAGGGGGCAAGCGUUAUCCGGAUUUACUGGGUGUAAAGGGAGCGUAGACGGCUGUGCAAGUCUGAAGUGAAAGCCCAGGGCUCAACCCUGGGACUGCUUUGGAAACUGUGGAGCUAGAGUGCUGGAGAGGUAAGUGGAAUUCCUAGUGUAGCGGUGAAAUGCGUAGAUAUUAGGAGGAACACCAGUGGCGAAGGCGGCUUACUGGACAGUAACUGACGUUGAGGCUCGAAAGCGUGGGGAGCAAACAGGAUUAGAUACCCUGGUAGUCCACGCGGUAAAC